UGAGCAAUCUGCCCUUCUCUUCGGAAUAAGCGUUGGAAACGACGUCUAAUGCCGAAUACGACCUCCUUUCGCAUGAUCGGAGGUGGAAAGCUCCGGCGGAGAAGGAUGAGCUCGCGGCCUAUCAGCUAGUUGGUGUGGGUAAUGGCCCACCAAGGCGACGACGGGUAGCCGGCCUGAGAGGGUGACCGGCCACACUGGGACUGAGACACGGCCCAGACCUCCGUACGGGGAGGCAG
rnacentral:rRNA from 1 species